rnacentral:rRNA from 1 species
AGCAGCCGCGGUAAUUCCAGCUCCAAUAGCGUAUAUUAAAGUUGUUGCAGUUAAAAAGCUCGUAGUUGAAUUUCGGGAUUGGCGCAUCGGUCGUGCCUUACGGGGUAUGAACUGGUGCAGUCAAUUUCUCACCUUCUGGAGAACCGCGAUGUCCUUAAUUGGGUGCCGCGGGGAACCAGGACCUUUACUUUGAAAAAAUUGAGUGUUUAAAGCAGGCAUUUUUUGCUUUGAAUACAUUAGCAUGGAAUAAUAAAAUAGGACGGCAUGGUUCUAUUUUGUUGGUUUCUAGGACCACCGUAAUGAUUAAUAGGGAUAGUUGGGGGCAUUAGUAUUCAAUUGUCAGAGGUGAAAUUCUUGGAUUUAUUGAAGACUAACUACUGCGAAAGCAUUUGCCAAGGAUGUUUUCAUUAAUCAAGACGAAAGUUGGGAUCGAAGACGAUCAGAUACCGUCGUAGUCUUAACCAUAAACUNUGCCGACUAGGAAUCAGACGAUGUUAAUUUUUAAUGUAACUUCGUUUGG